GCUCAGGAUGAACGCUAGCUACAGGCUUAACACAUGCAAGUCGAGGGGUAGCAGGGUAGCAAUACCGCUGACGACCGGCGCACGGGUGAGUAACACGUAUCCAACCUUCCCAUAACUCGGGGAUAGCCUUUCGAAAGAAAGAUUAAUACCCGAUAGUACUUAUAUAAGGCAUCUUAAAUAAGUUAAAGAUUUAUUGGUUAUGGAUGGGGAUGCGUUCCAUUAGAUAGUUGGUGAGGUAAUGGCUCACCAAGUCUUCGAUGGAUAGGGGUUCUGAGAGGAAGGUCCCCCACAUUGGUACUGAGACACGGACCAAACUCCUACGGGAGGCAGCAGUGAGGAAUAUUGGUCAAUGGGCGAGAGCCUGAACCAGCCAA
rnacentral:rRNA from 1 species